rnacentral:lncRNA from 1 species
UAAUAAAACGAUAUAAUUAGGUUUUACUUUUUGUUCGAUAGAAUGAGAAAAAGUACUCGUUGCAAAGUUAUACUGUUAGGGCGCAACUGAGUAGUCUAAUGUUGUUCUGGUUUUCGUUCUUGUGAACGUUGACAUCGAUUUGUUCAAAAUUUACACUCUCGGGGCAUAAUAGAACUAUAUAAUUAGGUUUUACUCUUUGUUCGAUAGAUUGAGAAAAAGUACUCGUUGCAAAGUUAUACUGUUAGGGCGCAACUGAGUAGUCUAAUGUUGUUCCGAUUUUGGUUCUUGUGAACGUCGAAGAUUCGUUCCAAAUUUACACUCGCGGGGCAUAAUAGAACUAUAUAAUUAGGUUUUACUUUUUGUUCGAUAGAAUGAGAAAAAGUACUCGUCGCAAGUUAUACUGUUAGGGCACAACAGAGUAGUCUAAUGUAGUUCUGGUUUUCGUUCUUGUGAACGUUUACAUCGAUUCGUUCCAAAUUUACACUUUCGGGGCAUAAUAGAACAAUAUAAUUAGGUUUUACUCUUUGUUCGAUAGAAUGAGAAAAAGUACUCAUUGCAAAGUUAUACUGUUAGGGCGCUACUGAGUAGUCUAAUUUUGUUCCUGUUUUUGUUCUUGUGAACGUUGACAUCGAUUCGUUCCAAAUUUACACUGUCGGGUAAUAAUAGAACAAUAUAAUUAGGUUUUACUCUUCGUUCGAUAGAAUAAGAAAAAGUACUCGUUGCAAAAUUAUACUGUUAGGGCGCAACAGAGUAGACUAAUGUUGUUCCGAUUUUGGUUCUUUUAAACAUUGACAUUGAUUCGUUCCAAAUUUACACUCUCGGGGUAUAAUAGAAUGAUAUAAUUAGGUUUUACUCUUUGUUCGAUAGAAUGAGAAAAAGUACUCGUUGCAAAGUUAUACUGUUAGGGUGCAACUGAGUAGUCUAAUUUUUUUCCUGUUUUUGUUCUUGUGAACGUUGACAUCGAUUCGUUUAAAAUUUACACUCUUGGGGCAUAAUAAAAUAAUAUAAUUAGGUUUUACUCUUUGUUCGUUUGAAUGAGAAAAAGUACUCGUUGCAAAGUUAUACUAUUAGGGCGCAACUGAGUAGUCUAAUGUUGUUCCGAUUUCGGUUCUUGUGAACGUAGACAUCGAUUCGUUCCAAAUUUACACACUCGGGGCAUAAUAGAACAAUAUAAUUAGGUUUUACUCAUUGUUCGAUAGAAUGAGAAAAGGUACUCGUUGCAAAUUUAUACUGUUAGAGCGCAACUUAGUAGUCUAAUGUUGUUUCGGUUUUGGUUCUUGUGAACGUUUACAUCGAUUCGUUCGAAAUUUACGCUCUCGGAGCAUAAUAGAGCAAUAUAAUUAGAUUUUACUCUUUGUUCGAUAGAAUGAGAAAAAGUACUCGUUGCAAAGUUAUACUGUUUGGGCACAACUGAGUAUUCUAAUGUUGUUCCGGUUUUAGUUCUUGUGAACAUUGACAUCGAUUCGUUCCAAAUUUACACUCUCAGGGCAUAAUAGAACAAUAUAAUUAGGUUUUACUCUUUGUUCGAUAGAAUGAGAAAAAGUACUCAUUGCAAAGUUAUACUGUUAGGGCGCAACUGACUAGUCUAAUGUUGUACCGGUUUUGGUUCUUGUGAACGUUGACAUCGAUUCGUUUCAAAUUUACACUCUCGAGGCAUAAUAGAGCAAUAUAAUUAGGUUUAAUUUUUGUUCGAUAGAAUGAGAAAAAGUACUCGUUGCAAAGUUAUACUGUUAGGGCGCAACUGAGUAGUCAAAUUUUGUUCCGAUUUUGGUUCUUGUGAACGUUGAAGAUUCGUUCCAAAUUUACACUCGCGGGGCUUAAUAGAACUAUAUAAUUAGGGUUUUACUCUUUUGUCGAUUGAAUGAGGAAAAAGUACUCUUCUUAAGGGUAUACUGAUAGGGGCACAACAGACUAGUCUAAUGUUGUACUGUGUUUGGUUCUUGUGAAACGUUAACAUCGAUUCGUUUCCAAAUUUACACUCUCCGGUACAUUAAUAGAACUAUAUAAUUAGCUUUAAUUUUUGUUCGAUAGAAUUGAGGAAAAGUACUCGUUGCAAAGUUAUACUGUUAGGGCGCAACUGAGUAGUCAAAUUUUGUUCCGAUUUUGGUUCUUGUGAACGUUGAAGAUUCGUUCCAAAUUUACACUCGCGGGGCUUAAUAGAACUAUAUAAUUAGGUUUUACUUUUUGUUCGAUUGAAUGAGAAAAAGUACUCGUCGCAAGUUAUACUGAUAGGGCACAACAGAGUAGUCUAAUGUUGUUCUGUUUUCGUUCUUGUGAACGUUAACAUCGAUUCGUUCCAAAUUUACACUCUCGGUGCAUAAUAGAACUAUAUAAUUAGCUUUUACUCUUUGUUCGAUAGAAUGAGAAAAGUACUCGUUUCAAAGUUAUACUGUUUGGGCGCAACUGAGUAGUCUAAUUUUGUUCCGGUUUUGGUUCUUGUGAACGUUGACAUUGAUUCGUUCCAAAUUUACACUCUCGGCGCAUAAUAGAACUAUAUAAUUAGGUUUUACUCUUUAUUCGAUAGAAUGAGAAAAAGUACUCGUUGCAAAGUUAUACUGUUAGGGCGCAACAGAGUAGUCUAAUGUUGUUCCGGCUUUCGUUCUUGUGAACAUUGACAUCGAUUCGUUCCAAAUUUACACCCUCGGGGCAUAAUAGAACUAUAUAAUUAGGUUUUACUCUUUGUUCGAUAGAAUGAGAAAAAGUACUCGUUGCAAUGUUAUAAUGUUUGGGCGCAACUGAGUAUUCUAAUGUUGUUCCGGUUUUGGUUCUUGUGAACAUUGACAUUGAUUCGUUCCAAAUUUACACUCUCGAGGCAUAAUAGAACGAUAUAAUUAGGUUUUACUCUUUAUUCGAUAGAAUGAGAAAAAAUACUCGUUGCAAAAUUAUACUGUUUGGGCGCAACUGAGUAGUCUAAUGUUCUUCCGGUUUUUUUUCUUGUGAACGUUGACGUCGAUUUGUUCGAAAUUUACACUCUCGGGGCAUAAUAGAACAAUAUAAUUAG